rnacentral:lncRNA from 1 species
GAGUGGUGUCCCCGAUACCGCCGGCCGGAGCGGCAGAGGAUCCCGACGUGAAAUCCGGGUCUUGGGCACCCGGGAACAGCUCGCGACACAAAGCGUCGGGCUUGCAGGCAUGCGACACCAGAGGUCUUCAGUGUGCCUGAUUGCAC